AUUGAACGCUGGCGGCAGGCCUAACACAUGCAAGUCGAGCGGAGCGGCGGACGGGUGAGUAAUGCCUAGGAAUGUGCCUGGUAGUGGGGGAUAACGUCCGGAAACGGGCGCUAAUACCGCAUCCUAUCAGAUGAGCCUAGGUCGGAUUAGCUAGUUGGUGGGGUAAAGGCCUACCAAGGCGACGAUCCGUAACUGGUCUGGGAGGAUGAUCAGUCACACUGGAACGGAGACACGGUCCAUACGCCUACGUGAGGAGGCGGUGGGGAAGAUGGGAAAAUGGGCGAAAGCCUGAUCGAGCCAUGCCGCGUGUGUGAAGAAGGUCUUCGGAUUGUAAAGCACUUUAAGUUGGGAGGCGUUACCAACAGAAUAAGCACCGGCUAACUUCGUGCCAGCAGCCGCGGUAAUUC
rnacentral:rRNA from 1 species